rnacentral:rRNA from 1 species
UGCCAGCAGCCGCGGUAAUACGUAGGUGGCAAGCGUUGUCCGGAUUUAUUGGGUUUAAAGGGUGCGUAGGCGGCCUAUUAAGUCAGUGCUGAAAUAUCCCGGCUUAACCGGGAGGGUGGCAUUGAUACUGAUGGGCUUGAGUAGAGUCGAGGUAGGCGGAAUUGACGGUGUAGCGGUGAAAUGCUUAGAUAUCGUCAAGAACACCGAUAGUGUAGACAGUUUACUAGACUCAAACUGACGCUGAGGCACGAAAGUGUGGGGAUCAAACAGGAUUAGAUACCCUGGUAGUCCACACUGUAAACGUUGAUUACUCGCUGUGUGCGAUAUACAGUACGCGGCUUAGCGAAAGCGAUAAGUAAUCCACCUGGGGAGUACGCCGGCAACGGUGAAACUCAAAGGAAUUGACGGGGGCCCGCACAAGAA